rnacentral:rRNA from 1 species
ACGGGAGGCAGCAGUGGGGAAUAUUGCACAAUGGGGGAAACCCUGAUGCAGCGAUGCCGCGUGAAGGAAGAAGUUCUUCGGAAUGUAAACUUCUAUCAGCAAGGAAGAAAACGGACAGUACUUGACUAAGAAGCCCCGGCUAACUACGUGCCAGCAGCCGCGGUAAUACGUAGGGGGCAAGCGUUAUCCGGAUUUACUGGGUGUAAAGGGAGUGUAGGCGGGACUGUAAGUCAGAUGUGAAAUAUGCCGGCUCAACUGGCAGACUGCAUUUGAAACUGCGGUUCUUGAGUGAAGUAGAGGUAAGCGGAAUUCCUAGUGUAGCGGUGAAAUGCGUAGAUAUUAGGAGGAACAUCAGUGGCGAAGGCGGCUUACUGGGCUUUAACUGACGCUGAGGCUCGAAAGCGUGGGGAGCAAACAGGAUUAGAUACCCUGGUA